rnacentral:rRNA from 1 species
AGUGAACGCUGGCGGUAGGCCUAACACAUGCAAGUCGAACGGCAGCACAGGAGAGCUUGCUCUCUGGGUGGCGAGUGGCGGACGGGUGAGGAAUACAUCGGAAUCUACUUUUUCGUGGGGGAUAACGUAGGGAAACUUACGCUAAUAUCGCAUACGACCUACGGGUGAAAGCAGGGGAUCUUCGGACCUUGCGCGAUUGAAUGAGCCGAGGUCGGAUUAGCUAGUUGGCGGGGUAAAGGCCCACCAAGGCGACGAUCCGUAGCUGGUCUGAGAGGAUGGUCAGCCACAAUGGAACUGAGACACGGUCCAGACUCCUACGGGAGGCAGCAGUGGGGAAUAUUGGACAAUGGGCGCAAGCCUGAUCCAGCCAUACCGCGUGGGUGAAGAAGGCCUUCGGGUUGUAAAGCCCUUUUGUUGGGAAAGAAAUCCAGCUGGUUAAUACCCGGUUGGGAUGACGGUACCCAAAGAAUAAGCACCGGCUAACUUCGUGCCAGCCGCCGCCGUAA